rnacentral:rRNA from 1 species
GCAUAUCAAUAAGCGGAGGAAAAGAAACUAACAAGGAUUCCCCUAGUAACGGCGAGUGAAGAGGGAAGAAGCCCAAGAUUGAAAGCUGGCGUCUUCGGCGUCCGCAUUGUAAUCUCAAGAAGUGUUUUCCGCUUCGGACCAAGCCUAAGUCCCUUGGAAAAGGGCAUCAUAGAGGGUGAUAAUCCCGUACAUGGCUUGGAGCGCCCGAGGCUUUGUGAUACGCUUUCUAAGAGUCGAGUUGUUUGGGAAUGCAGCUCAAAAUGGGUGGUAAAUGCCAUCUAAGGCUAAAUAUUGGGGAGAGACCGAUAGCGAACAAGUACAGUGAUGGAAAGAUGAAAAGAACUUUGAAAAGAGAGUUAAACAGUACGUGAAAUUGCCAAAAGGGAAGGGUAGGAGGUCAGAGAUGCGGCCUGGGAUUCAGCCUUGCUUUUGCUUGGUGUUUUUCCCAGAUUGCAGGCCAACGUCGGUUUUGGGCACUGGAGAAGGGUAGGAGGAAUGUGGCACCCCUCGGGGUGUGUUAUAGCCUCCUACUGGAUACAGCGACCGAGACCGAGGACAGCAGCGUACUCGUAAGAGCGGGCCCUCGGGCACCUUUACGCUUAGGGCGUUGGCAUAAUGGCCCUCUACCACCCGUCUUGAAACACGGACCAAGGAGUCUAACAUGUAUGCGAGUCUUUGGGUGGCAAACCCAUAGGCGCAAUGAAAGUGAAUUCAGGUGGGAUCCGCAAGGUGCACCAUCGACCGAUCCUCACGUCUUUUAAGUCGUGGAUUUGAGUAAGAGCAUACCUGUUGGGACCCGAAAGAUGGUGAACUAUGCCUGAAUAGGGUGAAGCCAGAGGAAACUCUGGUGGAGGCUCGUAGCGGUUCUGACGUGCAAAUCGAUCGUCAAAUUUGGGUAUAGGGGCGAAAGACUAAUCGAACCAUCUAGUAGCUGGGUUCCUGCCGAA